rnacentral:rRNA from 1 species
UACGUAGGUGGCAAGCGUUGUCCGGAUUUACUGGGCGUAAAGGAUGCGUAGGCGGACAUUUAAGUCAGAUGUGAAAUACCCGAGCUUAACUUGGGUGCUGCAUUUGAAACUGGGUGUCUAGAGUGCAGGAGAGGUAAGUGGAAUUCCUAGUGUAGCGGUGAAAUGCGUAGAGAUUAGGAAGAACACCAGUGGCGAAGGCGACUUACUGGACUGUAACUGACGCUGAGGCAUGAAAGCUAGGGGAGCAAGCAGG